UACGUAGGUGACCAGCGUUGUCCGGAUUUACUGGGCGUAAAGAGCGCGCAGGCGGUCGGAUUAGUCGCGUGUGAAAGCCCCCGGCUCAACUGGGGAGGGUCACGCGAUACUGUUCGACUCGAAGGCAGGAGAGGGAAGUGGAAUUCCCGGUGUAGUGGUGAAAUGCGUAGAUAUCGGGAGGAACACCAGUGGCGAAGGCGACUUCCUGGACUGUUCUUGACGCUGAGGCGCGAAAGCUAGGGUAGCAAACGGG
rnacentral:rRNA from 1 species